rnacentral:tRNA from 1 species
UGGGAAUUAGCCAAGCGGUAAGGCAACGGACUCUGACUCCGUCAUUGCAAAGGUUCGAAUCCUUUAUUCCCAGCCA